rnacentral:rRNA from 1 species
AGUAACACGUGAAUAAUCUGCCUUCAAAACUGGGAUAACUUGACGAAAGUUAAGCUAAUACCGGAUAAGACCACGCUUCACAAGGAGUGCGGUAAAAGGGAUCUCAAAUCCUGUUUGAAGAUGAGUUCGCGUACCAUUAGCUUGUUGGUGAGAUAACAGCUCACCAAGGCUACGAUGGUUAGCCGGCCUGAGAGGGUGAUCGGCCACACUGGAACUGAGACACGGUCCAG